UCGAUGGCUUGGACCCAGGUGUCCUGCUCCUC
rnacentral:piRNA from 1 species